AACGCUAGCUACAGGCUUAACACAUGCAAGUCGAGGGGAAACGACAUCGAAAGCUUGCUUUUGAUGGGCGUCGACCGGCGCACGGGUGAGUAACGCGUAUCCAACCUGCCCACCACUUGGGGAUAACCUUGCGAAAGUAAGACUAAUACCCAAUGACGUCUCUAGAAGACAUCUGAAAGAGAUUAAAGAUUUAUCGGUGAUGGAUGGGGAUGCGUCUGAUUAGCUUGUUGGCGGGGUAACGGCCCACCAAGGCAACGAUCAGUAGGGGUCCUGAGAGGAAGGUCCCCCACAUUGGAACUGAGACACGGUCCAAACUCCUACGGGAGGCAGCAGUGAGGAAUAUUGGUCAAUGGACGAGAGUCUGAACCAGCCAAGUAGCGUGCAGGAUGACGGCCCUAUGGGUUGUAAACUGCUUUUAUAAGGGAAUAAAGUGAGAGUCGUGACUCUUUUUGCAUGUACCUUAUGAAUAAGGACCGGCUAAUUCCGUGCCAGCAGCCGCGGUAAUACGGAAGGUCCGGGCGUUAUCCGGAUUUAUUGGGUUUAAAGGGAGCGUAGGCCGGAGAUUAAGCGUGUUGUGAAAUGUAGACGCUCAACGUCUGCACUGCAGCGCGAACUGGUUUCCUUGAGUACGCACAAAGUGGGCGGAAUUCGUGGUGUAGCGGUGAAAUGCUUAGAUAUCACGAAGAACUCCGAUUG
rnacentral:rRNA from 1 species